CAGCCGCCGCGGUAAUACGAAGGGUGCAAGCGUUAAUCGGAAUUACUGGGCGUAAAGCGUGCGUAGGCGGUUUGUUAAGUCUGCUGUGAAAUCCCCGGGCUCAACCUGGGAAUGGCAGUGGAUACUGGCAAGGCUAGAGUGUGGCAGAGGGGGGUGGAAUUCCGCGUGUAGCAGUGAAAUGCGUAGAUAUGCGGAGGAACACCGAUGGCGAAGGCAGCCCCCUGGGCCAACACUGACGCUCAUGCACGAAAGCGUGGGGAGCAAACAGGAUUAGAUACCCCUGUAGUCCCUGUCUCUUAUA
rnacentral:rRNA from 1 species